GACGAACGCUGGCGGCGUGCUUAACACAUGCAAGUCGAACGGAAAGGCCCUGCUUUUGUGGGGUGCUCGAGUGGCGAACGGGUGAGUAACACGUGAGUAACCUGCCCUUGACUUUGGGAUAACUUCAGGAAACUGGGGCUAAUACCGGAUAGGAGCUCCUGCUGCAUGGUGGGGGUUGGAAAGUUUCGGCGGUUGGGGCUGGACUCGCGGCUUAUCAGCUUGUUGGGGGGGUAGUGGCUUACCAAGGCUUUGACGGGUAGCCGGCCUGAGAGGGUGACCGGCGACAAUGGGCCUGCGAUACGGACCAGACGCCUACGGGAGGCAGCAGGGGGGAAUAUUGCACAAUGGGCGGAAGCCUGAUGCAGCAACGCCGCGUGCGGGAUGACGGCCUUCGGGUUGUAAACCGCAUUAGCCUGUGACCAAGCGUGAGUGACGGUAAUGGGUAAAGAAGCACCGGCUAACUACGUG
rnacentral:rRNA from 1 species